ACCCUAGCACACCCCUCCAGAUUUAUAAACCCCAACCAAAUGCAGCCGCGCCUCUCCUCCGAACGUAAAACCGCACGCCUAAAUUUUUUUUUCUUUCCAUCUUCUCUGCCGCUGCCUCUUUCUCCCCGUUCUCUCGCAACCUUCCCCCUCAUCCUCUCCCGUAGCCUCUGUUUUCUCUUCCCCACGGAGUGGAACUCAAAGCUUUGCAUUUCCAGGUUCCAGGAGAAAGUUCCGAACACUGCUGCUAGUGGGGAUGGAAGCAGUAAUGGAACAUUAUUUAGAGCUGUUCUGUUAGUUCGAAGAGGAAAGUGUGAUGAAGCGCGUGAGUAUGUUGAGAGAGCUAGGAAAUGCUUGGCAACAGAGCUUGCUGCUUUGAUGGAUACCAGUGAAGAUUUCAAAAGCGUUUUUCUGGAAAUGUUGCACAGGGAGAUUUGUGUUGGCCAAUCCUUACAAAUUCAAGGGGUUUCGUGUUCUUCCCCAAUUCUGUGAAAUUUUGCUUUCUCUGUUUCUUUCGUCUACGGUUUCAAGAUGGCAAAUGAUCCAAGAUUCAAGAAUACUGUAUUUGCCACCAGUGGGAAGAUCCCGAUUCCCAUGUCUGCAACAACUGUGACACAUAUUCAAAAUGUGUAUGGAGGAACAUUGAUGCAAGGAGCAAGACAGGUGUCGUAUCAUUUAUUGGAUGAGACUGAAUCACGUUCUUGGUAUCACUACAGCGGAUCACAGUCAAUACAUAUCCUGAAAGCGUAUCAUCUAUUCACAAUAAAGAAGGAUAUGUAUUUGAUCACCACAGAGAGGACGGAACAUACUCUGCAAUCGUGGGUGCAGAACAACGCAAAUAAUAUUAUCAAUCCUGUAAUCGGGGAGUCGACUGAAUAAUUCUUUGGUAAUUAAUUUUAUAAAUAUUUUUAACCUAUAAUUUUGUUAGGUAUUGGUUGUAAUUGAAUAGAUAUUUUUUUGUUUUACAAGGUUGUUGUGAGAGUGUUAAAACAUCUCCAUAACCAGAAUCUUCAGCAUGUAAAUGUUACCCCGAUAUCGGUAUUUGUUGUAGAUGGCAUUGGAUGUCUUGGUCGCCCAUGUGAUAGCAAAAAUCCUUCGAGGCCAGAUAUAGAUGAUUGAUUCAGCAACAUAUUGAAUUUUGUAUAUAGGGGACAAGCUCAGGCAGGUGCUAGUCUCCGACGUCUGAUGUCAAGAGUGAGACCCCUGAAUACAAAAUUCAAUAUGUUGCUGAAUCCAUCAAUAUCUAUAUUUGGCCUCGAAGGAUUUUUGCUGUUAGAUGGGCGACCAAGACAUCCAAUGUCAUCUACAACAAAUAUCAAUAUCGGGGUAACAUUUCUAUGCCGAAAAUUCUGGAUAUGGAGAUGUUUCAACCCUCUCACAACACCCCUGUAAAACAAAAACAGAUAUAUUCAAUUACAACCAAUACCUAACAAAAUUAUAGGUUAAAAUUAUUUACCAAAGAAUUCUUCAGUCGGCUCCCCAGUUACAGAAUUGAUAAUAUUAUUUGCGUUGUUCUGCACCCAUGAUUGCAGAGUAUGUUCCGUCAUCUCUGUGGUGAUCACAUACAUAUCUUUCUUUAUUGUGAAUAGAUGAUCCGCUUUCAGGAGAUGUAUUGAUCGUGGUCCGCUGUAGUGAUACCAAGAUCGUGCUUCAGUCUCAUCCAAUAAAUGAUACGACACCUGUCUUGCUCCUUGCAUCAAAGUUCCUCCAUACACAUUUUGAAUAUGUGUCACAGUUGUUGCAGACAUGGGAAUCGGGAUUUUACCAGUGCCCUUGUUUCAAAAAUUAUAAUACAUAAUCAGACAAUAAUCACUACUUUUAGUUCUUCCAAGAAUCAUCUUUACGGCCUUGCAGAAAAAAAAACUCAUCUAUCACCAAAAUUAUAUUACCGUUGAAUUUGUGAUUUUAGAGUUUCUUUGAAUCACUGUAUUAGCCUGUUACAAUUGAAUGGAUUUAGAUUUAUAUAAUUUGUUUGUAAUGAUGAUUUAAAUAUAAACAAUUUGAAUUGU